CACCUGAACAGGCAUGUAACACACAUGGUUGUCAGGAAACAUAUGGAACGGAAGCUUGUGAGGCAACACCUGAGACAGACACACAAACAUCUGGAACAACAACUGAAACCGACACACAAGCUUGUGUGACAACUGCUGAAACUGACACUCAGGCUUGUGUGACAACGAGAGAAACCGACACACAGGUUUGUGUGACAACUGCUGAAACUGACACACAGACCUGUGUGACAACGAGAGAAACCGACACACAAGCUUGUGUGACAACGACAACCGCUGAAACACAGACGUGUGUAACAACAGCUGAGAUCGGCACACAGACGUAUCUGGAAACAACCGAAACCAAUACACAGACAUGUGUGGUAACAGCAGAGGGAGACACACAGACUCAUUUCGUAACAGCUGAUAUAGACACGCAGACGAAUGUGACAACAGCUGGAACAGGACAAACACCGAGGUCCCCCGGAAACAGCCUCAACCAGGUUGAUAGUGACGAGUCUGAGAUGUCGCCUGGGAGAAGCUGUGGCACAUGCAGGAAACGGAAACACCAGCUGCAACAACUCCCUAGCAAGAAAAGACGGAUUUAGAAGGCCUGGUGUCUGAUCUGGACUGAAUACGUUUCUACAACAACGAGAUAUCUAGUGACUGUGUGUGCUCUGAAUUGUUAGGUUCAGAAGGAUAUUUGACAUUUACAUCCAAAUUUACAUCAACAGAAACAAGAAAACUGAUUUCAGGACAAGGAUUGUUCUUCUGAUCCUUCAUUAUCUGUAGUCAUGGUGAUAUUCAGUUAUACUUUCCAAAACAUAUACUGACAAAAUACUAGUUCAUGACAGAUGACAACUGUGCCAUAUUUUCGUGCUUCACGUUUCUUAUGAUUAUUAUUAGGUAGAUGAGGUGAUCAUAUGAAUGUGAUCAUGCUGAUAUAGAACAGUGUAUCUCCUAUACUCAACACAGCUGUAAGUCUGACACACCUUUCUACACUGUUUGCUCCCCUAAGCUGAUGGCAAUACGUAUUUCAUUGUUCACUGUGUAUAUAACCAUCACGUCUGGUUUUUCUGUUGCUGAUUUUUAGCUAUUGUUUGUAAGUGGAAAUGUAUGUUGAACACUUGACCGUAUUUUAUCACGUAACUUUCCACGUUAAAUUAAGAUAUUUAUUUAGACUAAAAAUGUGUAAAUAGAUGUAAUAAUGUCUGUUUAAAUUUGAAAGACGCAGCCACGCCCCCUAAGUUUAUGUUAGUCCAAAGCCUGUACUUAUGUUCAAGGCGAUAGGCUGGUGAAUGUUCUGUGUGAA